rnacentral:tRNA from 1 species
CAGAGAAUAGUUUAAAUAAAAUUUUAAUUUUGGAGAUUAAAGAUGAAAUAGGUAAUUUUUUCUCUGA